GACGAACGCUGGCGGCGUGCCUAAUACAUGCAAGUCGUGCGGACCUUUUAAAAGCUUGCUUUUAACAAGGCUAGCGGCGGACGGGUGAGUAACACGUGGGCAACCUGCCUGUAAGACCGGGAUAACGCCGGGAAACCGGGGCUAAUACCGGAUAGUUUUUUCCUCCGCAUGGAGGAAAAAGGAAAGGCGGCUUCGGCUGCCACUUACAGAUGGGCCCGCGGCGCAUUAGCUAGUUGGUGGGGUAACGGCCCACCAAGGCAACGAUGCGUAGCCGACCUGAGAGGGUGAUCGGCCACAUUGGGACUGAGACACGGCCCAAACUCCUACGGGAGGCAGCAGUAGGGAAUCUUCCGCAAUGGACGAAAGUCUGACGGAGCAACGCCGCGUGAGUGAAGAAGGCCUUCGGGUCGUAAAACUCUGUUGCCGGGGAAGAACAAGUGCCGUUCGAACAGGGCGGCGCCUUGACGGUACCCGGCCAGAAAGCCACGGCUAACUAC
rnacentral:rRNA from 1 species